rnacentral:lncRNA from 1 species
UUGGAGAUGAGUGAAUGCUGUGAAACCUCAAAUGAAUAUCAAGUGCAUUAUCACUCAGCUACUCAAGUGCAGCAAUGGACAUGGAAGCAAGCAAUGCCCAGGCCAUUUCACAUCAGGGGUGAAAAUAAGAACAUAAUCAUAACUAAAGUGCAUUGCUUGGCUUUGUCUCCACCAGUCAUGAGAGUUAAGGACCCAUGCAAUCCUUGCUCAAUCAAAUCUUGGGGUUCUUGAGGGCUCAGGAAGUGACUGUAGUACCCUCAGCUAACUGAGAGAGCCCCCAUUGUCUCCUGCUCCUGUUUCCCCUAUUGCUGUCUCCAUUUGUUGUCAUCCUGAAAAAAGCAAGAUGAACUUUUCAUCUCUCUUCAGACAGCCCCCCCCCCCCACAGUUUCUGGAGGAUGUGAGGGAGUUGGCAGACUAUGUUUAAAAUGCUGGCUCCACUCUUGAGGCCAGCUUGCCCUCCCUCGUUUGGCGGGCUCCGCCACGACCACUGUUCUUAUAUCUGUCACUUCACGCUUCACACACAUUUAUGUUUCUUGCCAGGACCCUAAAAGGUUUUUUGCAAACACCCCUUCCCAUAAAUUCACUGAUUCCAAAGCUAGCGACACACCCUGGGGGCAACAAAGCUGCUGCCAAGAGCCAGGAGGCACCGCAGCACGAGGCAUGCCCCCACCUCUUCCCCAUUCCAGCUGUCCGCAGCAAGAGGACAUGCUCCAUCCAGUGAGUCACCGGAAUGCGUUGUCUACUUUCCAACAAAACUCAAGUGUCCUCCAGUGUUCCUGCCUGCCAAGUUGGAGUUACUCUACAAUAUCCCACAGAUCAUGUAAGUCCUGUUCUCACUGCCCUCAGGGAGCCCACUGCCUUUCUCCAGAGCAUCUGAGGAUGCCAAGGAGAGUCUCCUUCGUCUUGUCACUGCUCCUGCCAAGAGCAGUGAUUCUGGAAUUUUUCAGAAUGCUUCUCCAGGCCACCGUGCUUCUAUUCACUUCUGCAUGCCAUGGUUUGAACAACUCCUCUGUUUAUCUCCCAGACAGAGCUGACAGCAGGUUAUCCUGGCCAAAACACAGAAUCAGCGCUUGAAGAUGGCAUAACGCAGAAAUCCCAGUUGCACCCCAUCACUCUGGUGGUUCCACCUCACUACAGCAGGUGAAGUAGAGCGUCUAGGAAAGAGUUCAAAGAAUCAACUUCAAAUUCCUUUAUUUUGCCUCCAAGUCCUGGGGUCCAGAGCAGUCAGACCCUGUUCUGCAGAGUCCCACAGCAACACAGUCCCCUGACGUCUUUCACUCUGUCUUUUUUAUGUCCAGAGCCCCCUCUCUACAUAAGAAGAGAUGGCAUGGAUAUGCGACCAGCAACAAUAGUGAUUCAGGCUAUAAAAAUGAGUUGUGUGUUGUUGUCAUAGACGUUGCCAUUAAAAUGCAAAACUUCUAAUAUACCUUUUUCGGAAUUGUUUUUGGUUUCUUUGGAAACUGAGUAUCUUCAAUGGUACAAAUUUUCAUGAUUUUUGUGGUAAGUUUAAUUUCUGCAAAGAAGCAAAAUGUGCUUGGAGCUGAAUCUGACAACUAAGGUGAGAAAUGAGUCUCUAGGUCAAAAACCAGAUGUGACAACCUUACAAUGAUGUCGAUGUUUUCUUUAACUGGGGAGAGAGCUGUUGAGGAUAUUCCCAAAGAGGAAUUGAGAAAGACAUUUGAGCAUGUGCAGUGUGAGUAUGGUGAAGCAUAACACUCAUCAAGAAAAUAUGGUACUGCGACUAAGGACAAAGUCUUUGUUGGCUAGCUCCAGGGCUACAGCCACACUCUCUCACUCUGGCAAUCUGGCAAUGUUUUUGCACCAUUUUUCAUUUUAUAUUCUUCAGCUUUAACAAAUGAAUAAACCUCCUGGGAAGUGAUGCUGUGAG